UACGUAGGGUGCAAGCGUUAAUCGGAAUUACUGGGCGUAAAGCGUGCGCAGGCGGCUUUGCAAGACAGAUGUGAAAUCCCCGGGCUCAACCUGGGAACUGCAUUUGUGACUGCAUGGCUAGAGUGCGGCAGAGGGGGAUGGAAUUCCGCGUGUAGCAGUGAAAUGCGUAGAUAUGCGGAGGAACACCGAUGGCGAAGGCAAUCCCCUGGGCCCGCACUGACGCUCAUGCACGAAAGCGUGGGGAGCAAACAGG
rnacentral:rRNA from 1 species